UUUGGUCUGGGGGAAGUGGCAGAAACCCACACGUGUCUUCAGUGGAGCUUGAUAGACCAAGUGCCAGCCCCUGUUGAUGUGGAAAUCUGAUAACUGUUGCACUCAGAGUAGAAACCCAAGUCAUAAGCCUAGUAAGUGACCAGCAGAAAGCGAUGAAUCAUCUUUCUUCAUGAGUGAUCACAAUCCUUCUGAAGCUUCUCCACCUGUAACUUGCAAUUUUGGGUCUUGUCUAAUGACAGGGUGAGCAUCUCUUAUUGAUCUCCAGGCUUCUUUAGUCAAUUCAAUGGCAGGUACACAAAGGGGCAAGGGACAGGCUUGCUGGCAAACACUUCACAAUUCUUGCUGCCUUAGAAUGAGAGUCUAAUAAAGCUUGUGGCUGCCCCCAAGCCCUGGAACCCAAGGACCUAAAGUCUGUGGCUGGCAGAGCCUCCUGGGGCCAGCCCCCUGUGACAACUUCUAAAGCAGACACCAGCUGUCAGCACUGUGUUCUCUCCAUGAAGGGAAGGGCAGUGAUCUGAAGACAACAGUGGAAUCCGCUGUUGGCCCAAGACGCCAGCUGAGGGCUCCAGCAUAAUGUGUGGGAAUUACAACAAGGAAAAGGAACUUAGUACCCUCCCAGGAUGAGCCACGGGCAUUCUCCACUACCACCAUAUUUUACCACCUACCUGUGGCCA